rnacentral:rRNA from 1 species
GACGAACGCUGGCGGCGUGCUUAACACAUGCAAGUCGAACGGAAAGGCCCUGCUUUUGUGGGGUUCUCGAGUGGCGAACGGGUGAGUAACACGUGAGUAACCUGCCCUUGACUUUGGGAUAACUUCAGGAAACUGGGGCUAAUACCGGAUAGGAGCUCCUGCUGCAUGGUGGGGGUUGGAAAUUUUCGGCGGUUGGGGAUGGACUCGCGGCUUAUCAGCUUGUUGGUUGGGUAGUUGCUUACCAAGGCUUUGACGGGUAGCCGGCCUGUGAGGGUGACCGGCCACCUUGGGACUGAGAUACGGACCAGAGUGCUACGGGAGGCAGCAGUGGGGAAUAUUGCACAAUGGGCGGAAGCGUGAUGCAGAAACGCCGCGUGCGGGAUGACGGCCUUCGGGGUGUAAACCGCUUUCGCCUGUGACGAAGCGUGAGUGACGGUAAUGGGUAAAGAAGCACCGGCUAACUACGUG